rnacentral:rRNA from 1 species
UUGAACGCUGGCGGCAGGCCUAACACAUGCAAGUCGAACGGUAACAGGAAGAAGCUUGCUUCUUUGCUGACGAGUGGCGGACGGGUGAGUAAUGUCUGGGAAACUGCCUGAUGGAGGGGGAUAACUACUGGAAACGGUAGCUAAUACCGCAUAACGUCGCAAGACCAAAGAGGGGGACCUUCGGGCCUCUUGCCAUCGGAUGUGCCCAGAUGGGAUUAGCUAGUAGGUGGGGUAACGGCUCACCUAGGCGACGAUCCCUAGCUGGUCUGAGAGGAUGACCAGCCACACUGGAACUGAGACACGGUCCAGACUCCUACGGGAGGCAGCAGUGGGGAAUAUUGCACAAUGGGCGCAAGCCUGAUGCAGCCAUGCCGCGUGUAUGAAGAAGGCCUUCGGGUUGUAAAGUACUUUCAGCGGGGAGGAAGGGAGUAAAGUUAAUACCUUUGCUCAUUGACGUUACCCGCAGAAGAAGCACCGGCUAACUCCGUGCCAGCAGCCGCGGUAAUACGGAGGGUGCAAGCGUUAAUCGGAAUUACUGGGCGUAAAGCGCACGCAGGCGGUUUGUUAAGUCAGAUGUGAAAUCCCCGGGCUCAACCUGGGAACUGCAUCUGAUACUGGCAAGCUUGAGUCUCGUAGAGGGGGGUAGAAUUCCAGGUGUAGCGGUGAAAUGCGUAGAGAUCUGGAGGAAUACCGGUGGCGAAGGCGGCCCCCUGGACGAAGACUGACGCUCAGGUGCGAAAGCGUGGGGAGCAAACAGGAUUAGAUACCCUGGUAGUCCACGCCGUAAACGAUGUCGACUUGGAGGUUGUGCCCUUGAGGCGUGGCUUCCGGAGCUAACGCGUUAAGUCGACCGCCUGGGGAGUACGGCCGCAAGGUUAAAACUCAAAUGAAUUGACGGGGGCCCGCACAAGCGGUGGAGCAUGUGGUUUAAUUCGAUGCAACGCGAAGAACCUUACCUGGUCUUGACAUCCACGGAAGUUUUCAGAGAUGAGAAUGUGCCUUCGGGAACCGUGAGACAGGUGCUGCAUGGCUGUCGUCAGCUCGUGUUGUGAAAUAUUGGGUUAAGUCCCGCAACGAGCGCAACCCUUAUCCUUUGUUGCCAGCGGUUAGGCCGGGAACUCAAAGGAGACUGCCAGUGAUAAACUGGAGGAAGGUGAGGAUGACGUCAAGUCAUCAUGGCCCUUACGACCAGGGCUACACACGUGCUACAAUGGCGCAUACAAAGAGAAGCGACCUCGCGAGAGCAAGCGGACCUCAUAAAGUGCGUCGUAGUCCGGAUUGGAGUCUGCAACUCGACUCCAUGAAGUCGGAAUCGCUAGUAAUCGUGGAUCAGAAUGCCACGGUGAAUACGUUCCCGGGCCUUGUACACACCGCCCGUCACACCAUGGGAGUGGGUUGCAAAAGAAGUAGGUAGCUUAACCUUCGGGAGGGCGCUUACCACUUUGUGAUUCAUGACUGGGGUG